CUUGUUCUCAUGCUCUCCCCAUUUUCGAAAAAUUGGAUUCAAUAUUAACCAGCUGUAAUCUCUGUAAUAUUUUUGCUGGAAGCUAAAAAUUCAAACAGAUUGAAGACAAAAUUUGAAGACAAAAUUCAAACAAAUUGCUGUUGGGGAAUUAUUUAAUGGAGAAUUUUAUCCGACAUUCCCUAUUAUGUUAUUCUUUUGUAGAAAGCAUUGCAUGAUAACUUCUUUGAACAUAAAAACAUACUCAUUUCUAAGGUUUAGAAGUGGUCAUUUGGGACAAUGGGAUCCUGGUCAUUUGGGACUAUGGGAUCCUGCACACACAAAAACAUUUGUUCAUUCAAGUUUUCUGGUUAUCUGUGAUAAGUUAUGAAUGAUUUCCAG
rnacentral:lncRNA from 1 species